rnacentral:rRNA from 1 species
CGUUACCCGGGUUGCGGACAGUGUCUGGUGGGUAGUUUGACUGGGGCGGUCUCCUCCUAAAGAGUAACGGAGGAGCACGAAGGUUGGCUAAUCCUGGUCGGACAUCAGGAGGUUAGUGCAAUGGCAUAAGCCAGCUUGACUGCGAGCGUGACGGCGCGAGCAGGUGCGAAAGCAGGUCAUAGUGAUCCGGUGGUUCUGAAUGGAAGGGCCAUCGCUCAACGGAUAAAAGGUACUCCGGGGAUAACAGGCUGAUACCGCCCAAGAGUUCAUAUCGACGGCGGUGUUUGGCACCUCGAUGUCGGCUCAUCACAUCCUGGGGCUGAAGUAGGUCCCAAGGGUAUGGCUGUUCGCCAUUUAAAGUGGUACGCGAGCUGGGUUUAGAACGUCGUGAGACAGUUCGGUCCCUAUCUGCCGUGGGCGCUGGAGAACUGAGGGGGGCUGCUCCUAGUACGAGAGGACCGGAGUGGACGCAUCACUGGUGUUCGGGUUGUCAUGCCAAUGGCACUGCCCGGUAGCUAAAUGCGGAAGAGAUAAGUGCUGAAAGCAUCUAAGCACGAAACUUGCCCCGAGAUGAGUUCUCCCUGAGACUUAGAGUCUCCUGAAGGAACGUUGAAGACGACGACGUUGAUAGGCCGGGUGUGUAAGCGC